GCCCAAAUGUUGAAAUUGGUAGACAAGCUACUUUGAGGUGGUAGUGACCGUAAGGUUGUGCAGGUUCGAGUCCUGUUUUGGGCA
rnacentral:tRNA from 1 species